UAGCAAUACGUGGCACACGGCUCAGUAACACGUAGUCAACAUAACCAAAGGACGUGGAUAAACUCGGGAAACUGAGGCUAAACCGCGAUAGAUCAAGAUAUCUGGAAUGGUUUUUGAUCAAAAUCUAUAUGGCCUUUGGAUUGGACUGCGUCCGAUCAGGCUGUUGGUGAGGUAAUGGCCCACCAAACCUGUAACCGGUACGGGCUCUGAGAGGAGGAGCCCGGAGAUGGGUACUGAGAAAAGGACCCAGGCCCUAUGGGGCGCAGCAGGCGCGAAACCUCUGCAAUAGGCGAAAGCCUGACAGGGUUACUCUGAGUGACUUUCGCUAAGAAAGUCUUUUGACACCUCUAAAAAUGGUGUAGAAUAAGGGGUGGGCAAGUCUGGUGUCAGCCGCCGCGGUAAUACCAGCACCCCGAGUGGUCGGGACGAUUAUUGGGCCUAAAGCAUCCGUAGCCGGUACUGCAAGUCUUCCGUUAAAUCCACCUGCUCAACAGUUGGGCUGCGGAGGAUACUACAGCGCUAGGAGGCGGGAGAGGCAAGCGGUACUCAUUGGGUAGGGGUAAAAUCCACUGAUCCAUUGAAGACCACCAGUGGCGAAGGCGGCUUGCCAGAACGCGCUCGACGGUGAGGGAUGAAAGCUGGGGGAGCAAACCGGAUUAGAUACCCGGGUAGUCCCAGCUGUAAACGAUGCAGACUCGGUGAUGGGCUGGCCUUGUGCCAACCCAGUGCCGCAGGGAAGCCGUUAAGUCUGCCGCCUGGGGAGUACGGUCGCAAGACUGAAACUUAAAGG
rnacentral:rRNA from 1 species